rnacentral:tRNA from 3 species
CCUGUAGCUCAGCCGGAUAGAGCAACGGCCUUCUAAGCCGUGGGUCGGGGGUUCGAAUCCCUUCAGGC